CGCAGAGCUCACGACGGAAGUAGUGCGGGUUUUCUUUCUGCUGCUGUGUGAUUAACGUAUUUCAGAUGUUGAUCAUGAAAGCGCAGGUGGAUGUGGUCUGCUAUAAAUCAGUAGGAACUGAUCUGUCCAUGCUGGAUAUUGAGGAUUUCAUCACAGAAAUCUGUCAGCUGAAGAAAGAGGUGGCUUCACUGGAGGCAAAGCUGAGAGAAAGAGGAGACAAACUGAACAGAGAGGAUGUGGAGCGGGUUUGGGUGCGUGAGACUGAUGGGACAGAAGCUCAGGAUUCAGUCUGGAGCAUCAGAGAUCAGAGAUCCAGAGACACACAGGACUCAGAGCUCAGCCUCACUUUACUCUGUUAUACUGACGCUCAG